GAUCAAAUACUCUGCGGAUAAUAGUUAGAUGAAUAAUAUUUUCUAUGUAUUGGUAAAGAAAUUCGCACGGAGUAGUACCAUUUGACGUGCUAUCAGUUGAUAGUGGUUCAUCAGGCAUCGCAACAUCUGGGAUCUCUUCCUUUUCCUUGUUCUUGUUGGGUCAAUGACGUUUUGUGCCAAUAUUGUACUCAUACUGGAUGUUUGUUUGUUGGAUGGGUUUUUUUUGACGAUUCGAUGGAUUCCUUGCUGUAGUUUUUUGCUUUGGUUGUGCCUUAUCCUCCUUUAUGUUGAUUUCAGGCUUGCCUAUAUGUGUGUCCGUCGCCUCAAGCACGACAUUUGUAUAUUGUACCACUGCCCUUGAUUCCUG
rnacentral:lncRNA from 1 species